UACGAAGGGGGCUAGCGUUGCUCGGAAUCACUGGGCGUAAAGCGCACGUAGGCGGUUUGCUAAGUCAGGGGUGAAAUCCUGGAGCUCAACUCCAGAACUGCCUUUGAAACUGUGAAACUUGAGGAUGAGAGAGGUGAGUGGAAUUCCCAGUGUAGAGGUGAAAUUCGUAGAUAUUGGGAAGAACACCGGUGGCGAAGGCGGCUCACUGGCUCAUUUCUGACGCUCAGGCGCGACAGCGUGGGGAUCAAACAGG
rnacentral:rRNA from 1 species